CCUACGGGAGGCAGCAGUGGGGAAUAUUGCACAAUGGGCGCAAGCCUGAUGCAGCCAUGCCGCGUGUGUGAAGAAGGCUUUCGGGUUGUAAAGCACUUUCAGUGAGGAGGAAAAGUUGGUCGUUAAUACCGGCCAGCCUUGACGUUACUCACAGAAGAAGCACCGGCUAACUCCGUGCCAGCAGCCGCGGUAAU
rnacentral:rRNA from 1 species